rnacentral:rRNA from 1 species
UGGCGGACGGGUGAGUAAUGUCUGGGAAACUGCCUGAUAGAGGGGGAUAACUACUGGAAACGGUAGCUAAUACCGCAUAACGUCGCAAGACCAAAGAGGGGGACCUUCGGGCCUCUUGCCAUCGGAUGUGCCCAGAUGGGAUUAGCUAGUAGGUGGGGUAACGGCUCACCUAGGCGACGAUCCCUAGCUGGUCUGAGAGGAUGACCAGCCACACUGGAACUGAGACACGGUCCAGACUCCUACGGGAGGCAGCAUG